rnacentral:rRNA from 1 species
AUUGAACGCUGGCGGCAGGCCUAACACAUGCAAGUCGAGCGGAUGAAGGGAGCUUGCUCCUGGAUUCAGCGGCGGACGGGUGAGUAAUGCCUAGGAAUCUGCCUGGUAGUGGGGGAUAACGUCCGGAAACGGGCGCUAAUACCGCAUACGUCCUGAGGGAGAAAGUGGGGGAUCUUCGGACCUCACGCUAUCAGAUGAGCCUAGGUCGGAUUAGCUAGUUGGUGGGGUAAAGGCCUACCAAGGCGACGAUCCGUAACUGGUCUGAGAGGAUGAUCAGUCACACUGGAACUGAGACACGGUCCAGACUCCUACGGGAGGCAGCAGUGGGGAAUGUUGGACAAUGGGCGAAAGCAUGAUCCAGCCAUGCCGCGUGUGUGAAGAAGGUCUUCGGAUUGUAAAGCACUUUAAGUUGGGAGGAAGGGCAGUAAGUUAAUACCUUGCUGUUUUGACGUUACCAACAGAAUAAGCACCGGCUAACUUCGUG